AGGAGAGCGAGGUUUCCAUUCCAAUUAGGCAGCUGCGUUCUCCAUAAAUGGAGCAGCGGUUGAAGUGCCAGCAGCCAUGUUGCAGAGGCUGUGCAGUGUGGGGGAGAGGAGGCUCAGGGGAGACAUCAUGGCUCUGUGCAGCCACCUGACAGGAGGCUGUGUGAGGUGGGGUCGGCCUCUGCCCCCAGGGAACAGCCAUGGGACGAGAGGGGAUGGCCUCACGUUGUGCCAGGGGAGGUUCAGGUUGGCUGUGGGGUGAACUGGAGACAGCUGAAGCAAUCCUGGUUACAAAAGCUGAUCUACCUUGUGCGAGCCAUCCCAAGAGCUACUGAAACACCUCUGCUCUAGCAGAACCAACGUGCAAGCUGAAGGCUCCAAGCAUUGGUUCGGUGCCCUCAAGGAGCUGACGAGUCUGAACAAGAAGCAGUGCUUAGCCUUCCUGCUGCACCACUCAUCCCUGCAAGGUUUUGGUAGCUUGCUGGUAUGAUUUGGUUUUGACACCUCCUAUUUCUUGCACUCAUGGCAGAGCCACUCUUUGAUUCCUCACUCCUUUUUGUCUUCUUUAAGGUUGACAGCAAAGAACUGGAAUUGAGUUGUUUAUGAUUGCUGGUCACUAUGUCCAUGGGAGGAAAUGACUUAGUUAUUACUUGAUGGCACCGUGCAUUCCAGUUCAUCUCUGAGCAUUAUCCCAUUAAGGGAGAUCUGGCCAACAGCUUUUCAACACUCCCCCGCAUCAAGACAAAUUUCCAUCAUGGAGUUCUGACAAGACAUCCAACAGCCAGUUUGUCUUCAAGCUUCUCCCUGGCAGCCAGGAAAUGAAUUGGAGUUGCUUGUAAAAGCUGCCUGCUGCAGAAGCUGGGGUACAGCCCUAGCGUUUGAAGGAUGUCCUCAGGCUGACUGGAGUUAAAGCCCUCAUUCUCAUCUGGGUGAGUGGGUAAGUUCAUCUGUGAAAAGUAAGAGAAUCUAAUACAGAGAUUUAACACAGUUAAAGUACCACCAAAUACUGUCACCAUUCCUCAGAAAGUCCUGAAGUCAUAUGGUAGGAAGCAGUUAGAUUGGAUUAUACCUAAAACGUAAUACAUACAAGAUCAAGUUCCUAAGCAGUUCUAGCCAUAGACCUCUCCAUCAAGUUAAGCAGAUUGAUACCUACUUAGAUCUGGAGCUUACUUUUCUGCCUGGAGAGAGCAGUGAUGCCAGGAGCAAGGGCAGAGCUGCAGCUAGCCCAGGGCUUAAGCCAUCUGCAGUUAAAUCACAUCCAUAGUCUAAUGGUAGACAAGAGUGGAGUAACAUGAGUAAGUAGCUUUGUGAGUAAGGAUGCCAAGAUCUGGCCUUCUAGAUUUAAUACUUUAAUCUGUCCAAGUGCAUCGAUGCUGUAAUUACAGCCACAGCACAGUCCUUGAGUAGCUGAAGAUUAGAGACCGUCGAUAAUCCCAGCUAUGUCACACAGAUGAAAGCUAUUAAGUGGAUUUACAGAGGACAGGAGGUAUAUAGAAACUCAUUAUUUUCCCACUGAGACAAAACUAUUCAUUAGUAUAUGACAGAGAGCAUACUCUGGAAAAUUGGAAGCGGGUUAUUGAAAAUGAGCAAAUCCCAGUAGUCCUAACACAUACGUGAUGAACUGGUUAUUAAUAUCCAAUCCAGCAAGCUCUGUCACUAAGAUUCAGUACCAUUCCUGGUGGUAUUUGUAAGUCUGCAAGUCCUAGAUGGUACCAGUCUGCAGCAUUAGAGAAGGUAAAAGAAGGUCUCAUUGCAGUCAAGGCAAAUUUCAGGCAGAAGGGUGUUAAGUUCACACACACAAAAACAACAGCAGAGUUCAUUUUAAAGUGUUACUUCAGACAUUCCCACUGCAGCUGAUACAUUAAUUACACCACAGUUUUUAUUAAUUCGGUCUUUAAAGGCUCCCUUGCGAAAUCUUCUUGUGUGAGCAAUUACAGUAAGCAACCGCUCCGGUUUGAAGUGGUUUCAUUGCACCUGCUGUCCCCAGGCUGUAUUAGUUAAUUGUUUUUGUUUAUCCCAUCCUACUCUUCUCUAGUAAUUUGCUUGGCACCGCAAAGACGGCUCACACCGCUUAUAAAGUGCUGUUUAUUCCUGGCAGCCAGAAGUUGAAGAUGUGCCUCCUCUCUUGCUAUGAGCUGCAGCCCACUUCAAACAGCUGGAGGGGAAGCGAGCAGAUGCUCAGCUGUGUUAAGAGGUCUGAUUACCAUUACAGCGUGGAGGAAAAGCAAACACACAAAAAAACAUACCUGCAGUUUGUCCCUAGUCCUUUGUGUAUUUCCCUUUGUGAGGCAUAGCUGUAUGUCUUGUUUGUGCUUCAGGGAGUUCCUGUGUGUGCUGACCUCCCAGGGUCAGGAGCUGCAGUUUCAAGGCUGCUAGUAAAGGAUUUGGGCACUGAACGCCCUAACCAUUAAGCACUUACUUUCUAGGGUGUGGGUUGCAAGCCCAGGCAUCUCAUUUGAGAACAGGGAGAAGCCUCAGGUGGGAAGUCUCACUAGGCAGCUAAGGGAAAGGGAUGGAGGUUGGGUAAAGGAUCCCAGCCUCCUUAUCAGGUUAGGCAGAAACAGUGAGAAUCCUGUCAGCACAGGCUCAGAUUUCACAGGGAAACUCGGCCUGCUGGCACAGAGCAUCAAGAUGGCCCAAGUAUUUUACUGCUCUAGAGGUAUCCCUUCUAACCAGCCCCCUCCACAGGUGCUCUGCAGCUUUCUCUGAUGGAAACUGGCUGCAUCAGAAGCUCUUACAUAGCACCUCCUCAAUAUUAUUCCAAGCAUUGUUGAAAAUAUUACUUCAGGAAGGACUUCAGAGGACUAGAGCUUGUAACACAGCUGUCCAUUGCUAAACAGUCAUAGGCAUGGAAUGCUUCCAGCUGGGAGAGCAGCAAUUAACUCAUGCUACCCUAUGUCUAGAAAAAAUUAACUUUUUCAACUUUGCUGUUGUAAAAGAGCAGAAUUUGGCUCAUUAUCUAAUAGCAAAUUCAAUUCCCUUUGUGUUUCUAUAUGGGACUCUGAGAUGUGCAGUCCACGUGAGCCAACCAGCAUCUAUAGGAGCAACUGUGGUGCAUGCAGCUUUAGAGCAAAAGGACAUCAAGCAGCAGAGGAAAUACAAGGUAUAAAACCACUCUCUUUCCUUCUUCAUUCACUCCCUCUCCAGCUCAGUGCUCAUGUUGAAAGAGUGGUACAAAGGAUUCUCACAGCUAUAACAGAAGUGAACAAAUGGCUGGUAUUGUGACCCACAGGGGUGUGCCAUGCCUAUGUCCAAGCACGUCCUGAAGUGUUAACUUAGUACAAAGAGAGGAUAUUUUUAUUGAUAAACAUUAUAUUGUCUUAGUGUAGAUGUCUGACACGUUAUUAAAUCAAAUGACAGAACAUUUAAAGUAAUUCAUUCUAAGAAAACGUUUUGAUAUUCCAUAGACAAUAGUGCUGUGAAUUCUGUUUAUAGUAUAACACAUUAAAAACACAGAAAUACAAGUUUCUAAUCUCAUAGGUUACCAGCAAACAGAGAAAAAUGCAUGCUUUAAUUUCUGUUGAAUUUGUAACUUACACAGGCAAGUGGAACAGCUAUGCAUAAAAUACUAUUCUACAACAAGCUGUAAAACAAACAUACAGAAAGACUGACCUUAUAAUACUUGUACAAGUAUGACAAAACCAUUGUAACUUAUUUCAGAAGGUAACAAAUAUUUUGUCUGUGGCUCCGCCAUUUUAACAUUUCUAAGCUGACUUCAUUAAAAGCUAUUUUGAAUAGAAUCGUAUUACCGUAAGCCACUGAUUACUUUUUUCCCAGCUGGCUGUCAAUGAAUGUGAUGCAUUACGUGCAUUUGUGCUUGGUUCCAUCUACAUUUUCUUCCUUAUGGACUACGCAGUCUUUGCACUCAGGAAAUGCUGUUUGAUCCCGAGUCGAACAGAAGGUGCUUGUUUUACUCACUUGUUUUGCUGUGCCUCCUGCAGCCUGACCACACCAUAAAGUAGAAGACACAUUAUGCAUGCAAUUCAACAACAUGGGCAUGGUUUCAUCACAGUUUGUACAAGCCUGUGUAGGGAUUGCAUUCAGAUGUCUAAGACUUCAAUCAUGGUACAGUGAUAAGUUUUCCUUAAGAGUCCCAAGCAACUAUUGGAUCUCGAAUGUCCAACCUCCCCCUCCGCCAACCCAUGGACUGAGGAGAAGCACCAGGCCUGUCUUCCUGCUCUGGUAGCCACACUAACACCAAACCACUGCCAAACUGCACCCGGGGAUUCCAGGCAACACACAACUUUGGCAGACAGCAGUAAAAAACCAGCCAAACAAACCAGAAAACAAUAACAACAACAAAAUCCCAAACCAAACAAAAAAUAGCCAGAAACAUCUUCCUGCUUUGGUUUCAGUCUCCAAACAUUCGAUGUGAGAAUAAUUUAUUAUUCCUUUGAUGGUCUUUUGCAAAUACUAUCUUCAUUAGGGGCCUGGUAAUGACUCCCAACUUUACAAGGAGAGGUAAUGAAAUGAAACUAUUCCUCAAGGGAAAAAGAAGCAAAAUUUGUUCCCUCUCUCAGGCACGUAGACUCUUACUGACAAGUUCACCUAAGCAUUAAAGGAAAAGAUAAAAUGCACACUCAUGAAGUGAGGGUAAGUACUGAGCAAGGGACUUUAUAUUCCUCCUGUAUCUGCCCUUCGCCCUGAUAAAAGGGUUUCUUACUGGGAAGAAAUGCCUUUCAUCAGGAGGACAGGAGUUGUUAAGAUAGAUAGUAUUCACACUAAGCCCCACAUAAGUGCAGCCUUGGUGGGCUGAUGGUUGGACUAGAUGAGCUCAGUGGUCUCUUCCAACCUUAAUGAUUCUACCUAUGAACCUCUGCAGAGCUUGCCAGUAUCCCCACUAAACAGUAACCAGCUUUCUGUGAUGCCAUAGCGCUCUUGUUCACACUUGCUCCACACUUGCGCUGUAUAAAUAGAGAUUCAUGCUUUGUGUCCUCUGCUUGCUGUGCAUGUGGAAAAGCCCUUAAGAACUAAGUAAUUCCACAAACUCCUUGCUUUGGCUUCUGUCAAGAAUUCACUGUAGUCAGCAGUAGCUCAAGUUCUGUACUUGCUCAUGUGUCCUAAGCACAGUGUAAUUUCAUAAUACAAAGGUGAAAUAAAGAUAUGUUACACUCAUGACAUUUUGACUCAUCCGUAAGAGUUACUGAAAGGAAUUCGUCCUGAAAAUACAGGAGGAACCCAGACUCAUCCUUGACUACAUGUGGAAGUUCAUUUCAUUUAAUCUUGACAAUGACAUGAAUAUUUAUGAAAGACUUUGCAAUACGUCAUGCAGUUGGCCUUUAUCUUCUAGUUGUUUUCUACUCUAAGACAUCCACAAGUCGUUAGGAGAUACCACCAAAAAUGACCCCACCAUUGCUCUUUUAUUUCCCAGCACUGAGCCCUACUGUAAUUCACGUGGAAGGCAAUGAUACAUGAUAUAUUCUUCUGCGAUUGAGGUCAACUGACCUACCUGAAAUCAAAACAGCACAGCAGAAAUACAGCUGUAUCACAUUUUGAGAGGUGCGCUCAUCUGCCUGGAGGAUUUCAAGAGGGGGAUCCUUGCUUUAGCUCGAGGUGAGGAUUGACGUUGGAUUUUUACUAAUUUGACUAAUUUUUACUAAUUUUGCCAACACAGAGAAACACAUUAUUGAAUCAGAGGCACAACCCCUACCGAACAACCCUAAUCAAUAAAUAAAAUGCAUAAAUAGCUCAGUGCAGAAUUUCCUGACCUCCUCAGUAUCUCUUCUUUUAAAUUACUUUUUAAACCUAUCCUUACAUUCAGAAAUAAUUCCAGCUGGUAAUAAAUCUGAAUGCACGGCUGUAUGCCAUUCUGCUUCUGACCUGCUGAACGAUAGAUGUACAACUGCUGUAUACCAUUAGCAAUACCUUGCUAAUACAACACGGAAAUGACUCGAAAUUCAUCACCACCUCUUCUAUUUGCAAAUAGAUAUGGAUGAGUAUCAUUUAGCAUCUUAGCAGUUGCCAUGAUAGGGCUUUAUUCCCACAGAAAUGGCAGACAGCAUCCACAGGGCUUCAUUUUAACAAUGGUA